ensembl:miRNA Mir7057 microRNA 7057
GCCUGCAGAAGAGGACUCGAGUUGGAAAACGUUCUAAUUUGAUGUCUUUCCCCACCAG